GACGAACGCUGGCGGCGUGCUUAACACAUGCAAGUCGAACGGAAAGGCCCUGCUUUUGUGGGGUGCUCGAGUGGCGAACGGGUGAGUAACACGUGAGUAACCUGCCCUUGUCUUUGGGAUAACAUCACGAAACUGGGGCUAUUACCGGGUAGGAGCUCCUGCUGCGUGUUGGGGGUUGGAAAGUUUCGGCGGUUGGGGAUGGACUCGCGGCUUAUCAGCUUGUUGGUGUGGUAGGGGCUUACCAAGCCUUUGAAGGGUAGCCGGCAUGAGAGGGUGACCGGGCUCAUGGGGACUGAGAGACGGCCCAGACUGCAACGGGAGGCAGCAGGCGGGAGUAUUGCACAAUGGGCGGGAGCCUGAGGCAGAAACGCUGCGAGCGUGAUGACGGCUUUCGGGGGGUAAACCGCUUUCGCCGGUGACGAAGCGGGAGUGACGGUAAUGAGUAAAGAAGCACCGGCUAACUACGUG
rnacentral:rRNA from 1 species